rnacentral:tRNA from 1 species
GGGUUUAGCAGUUGGUAGAGUGCUGCGAUCACACCGCAGAGGUCAGGGGUUCAAAUCUCCUAUUCUCCA